rnacentral:tmRNA from 1 species
GGGGCUGAUUCUGGAUUCGACGGGAUUUGCGAAACCCAAGGUGCAUGCCGAGGGGCGGUUGGCCUCGUAAAAAGCCGCAAAAAAUAGUCGCAAACGACGAAAACUACCAUCAUCAUCAUCACAUGAGGAUCACCCAUGUAACGAUGAUGAUGCCUCUCUCCCUAGCCUCCGCUCUUAGGACGGGGAUCAAGAGAGGUCAAACCCAAAAGAGAUCGCGUGGAAGCCCUGCCUGGGGUUGAAGCGUUAAAACUUAAUCAGGCUAGUUUGUUAGUGGCGUGUCCGUCCGCAGCUGGCAAGCGAAUGUAAAGACUGACUAAGCAUGUAGUACCGAGGACGUAGGAAUUUCGGACGCGGGUUCAACUCCCGCCAGCUCCACC